rnacentral:lncRNA from 1 species
UCCAAGAUGAUUUGAAUUGGAUUUGAAGUUUGACCUUUAUUUGUUCAUUUUAUUUUAUGUAUUAUUUUAAUUCCAAAAAAUACCAAAAAUAUGUUUGAUAUUUCUUGACUUCUAAUCUUCAUUUCACUUCUGUUUACCAUUGAUUGAUGUUGAUUUCAUUCAUGUUUGAUCAAUGUGUUCUGGUUAUGUCAUUUGGAUUUUCAUUUUGUACAUUCCAUUUCCAUCUUCA